UGGGGAAUAUUGCACAAUGGGCGCAAGCCUGAUGCAGCCAUGCCGCGUGUGUGAAGAAGGCCUUCGGGUUGUAAAGCACUUUCAGCGGGGAGGAAGGCGUUAAGGUUAAUAACCUUGGCGAUUGACGUUACCCGCAGAAGAAGCACCGGCUAACUCCGUGCCAGCAGCCGCGGUAAUACGGAGGGUGCAAGCGUUACUCGGAAUUACUGGGCGUAAAGCGCACGCAGGCGGUCUGUCAAGUCGGAUGUGAAAUCCCCGGGCUCAACCUGGGAACUGCAUUCGAAACUGGCAGGCUAGAGUCUUGUAGAGGGGGGUAGAAUUCCAGGUGUAGCGGUGAAAUGCGUAGAGAUCUGGAGGAAUACCGGUGGCGAAGGCGGCCCCCUGGACAAAGACUGACGCUCAGGUGCGAAAGCGUGGGGAGCAAACAGG
rnacentral:rRNA from 1 species